CUGAAGAGGAGCUUUUUAAAAUGCGUGCAAAGCUAUUCCGAUUUGCUUCUGAGAAUGAUCUUCCAGAAUGGAAGGAACGAGGCACUGGUGACGUCAAGCUUCUUAAGCACAAGGAGAAAGGGACCAUCCGCCUUCUCAUGAGGAGGGGACAAGACCCUGAAGAUCUGCGCCAACCACUACAUCACACCGAUGAUGGAGCUGAAGCCCAAUGCGGGCAGUGACCGUGCCUGGGUCUGGAACACCCACGCCGACUUCGCUGAUGAGUGUCCCAAGCCGGAGCUGCUGGCCAUCCGCUUUCUAAAUGCUGAAAAUGCACAGAAAUUCAAAACAAAGUUUGAAGAAUGCAGGAAAGAGAUCGAAGAGAGAGAAAAGAAAGCAGGAUCAGGCAAAAACGAUAAUGCCGAAAAAGUAGCUGAAAAGCUAGAAGCUCUUUCAGUGAAGGAGGAGACCAAGGAGGAAGCUGAGGAGAAGCAAUAAACCGUCUUAUUUUCAUUUCCUUUCUUUUUUCUUUUUAAAAUUUUGCUCUGCCCCUCCUUUUCGGUAUUUUUAUUCUGUUUUGUUUUUACAAGGCACUUUAUAUAAAGAACUGAAUUCCAACAUUAAGGUUAGAGUUUUUUUCUAAGUUUUUGCCCUAUUGAAGACAACUUCAGAAAAUCCAUUCUCCAGUCAUGAAAAUGUACUGUGCUAACUUUCUUUUCCAUAGUGGAAACACUUAUUUAUAGUCAUCAAAAAUAGCAAAAUAAAAAACCCAUUUGGAACCUGAAAAAAAA